ACAAUUUCUUGUCCUUUAGAGAACUACUCUCUCACCCGAUGACCCCUCCCCACCCGGGAAGGGGAACUGGGGGAAAAACAAGGACCCAGGAGGACACUGGGGAGCUACAUCGCGGUUCUGUGAUGGUGACUUGGAGCACUGCAGCCACACUGGAGUCCGUGCCAUGGGCGCUCUGAUGCCUUGUCUCCCCUGGGCCCUCUCCUCCUGAUUGUCAUGGGGCUCAGCGUGUUCUCAUCUGUGCUGCGGAGGAAGCCGCUUCAGAAGUGAAGGAGAAGAAGAAGCGUCAGGCAAGCAAGACAAGAGCCCAGCCGGAGAAGCAGAGCGCUUCUCAGCCAGUGGAUGGAGGAGUGGAGAAAUCCCGGCCCAAGCAGGAGAAGCGGUGAGUGUGGGGGAGACCCCAGAUGCUGCCCCAGACCCUCACCCCGUGCCCUGCCCCUGCCUGCGCUGGGCAGCCCUGACGGCCAGCCAAGGGGGGUGCUGCCCGCAGGUCCCGCUGGGCUCCGGGGUGCAGCGGGGUCUCUUUCUUCUCCUCUGCAGGGAGAGUGCGGAGGCCUUGAGCCGGAAGCCCCUCUCCCCACGGGCCCCGCUGGCCACCAUGGACUCCAUGACAGACAGAGGCUACUCUUCCUCAGCUUCCUUUACCCUUCCCGGAGGCCUGUCCUGGUGGGAUGGCGGAGCUGGCAGCACUCAACUGCUCAGGACCCCGCCAUCCCCCCAGGGCUGUCAAGGGGAGGGUGCAGGAGCCAGGGCCAGCCCUCUGCCAGGAGCCCCCACAGGAACUGCCAACAAGGACCACGCAAGAGGUCUACUUGACCUCUUGCACAUUUUCAAGGCGUGGGGGGAGAGGCAGCAGCGCGGCGAGCCCAUGGCCAGACUGCCAUGGCCAGACAGCCCAUGGCCAGAGCCGGCUGCCGGCCGCGCUGCAUCUGCUUCAGAAAUUUCCCCUAAUGGCUGGGAGGUGUGGGGCUGGGAACCCCCUGGGGUGCCCCACUUCUGAUCCAAUAAAAAAGUCAAUAUUUUCUCUA